UUUUGUUCGCAUCGUUCGCAUGUAUUUUAAUGGCUCAACGCUUAUUCAGUGUAAACAGUGCAAAUUGUGAACAAUUUUUAAUUACAUGAAGUUUUAAAUAAAAAUAUUCAUCAAGGAACAAGACAUUCAGUUUCCUGGAAUUUCGGUCCCUAAUGAAAUUCUUGUGGAGAAUUUAAAUAAUGGAAAUAAUAUAGUUGUUUUGGCUGAAGGAAGAGAAGACAAUCAGCCCGUUGUGAUUAGAGAAGCAACCCAACAAAAUAACGUCAAAGAAAACAAAUUUAAAUCUGAACUUCUGUCCUUCUUAAAUAAAGAUCCUGAUGGCAAAAUAGUUUUGAUACAUUUUUUUUUGGGAAAACAUUUUUUGGGAAUAAUUUUUUUGGGGAAAAUUUGACCCCCCACCUAAUUAGCUAUCACACAUUGUUUGAACUGGAUUUCAACAUUUUGCAACCGAAUAAAUCAUCUUUGUUACGUAAAAGAUGUCCUGUGUUGAAAACCAUAUUAAUUGAACAGCUUGAAGAAGAGGCAAAAAAGUUGAAGAAAAAAAAAUUAAUAAACUGCUUCUUGACGACUUGUUAUUAUUAAAAUUAUUACCAGGAUU